GGCCAGACUCCUACGGGAGGCAGCAGUGGGGAAUAUUGCACAAUGGGGGAAACCCUGAUGCAGCAACGCCGCGUGAAGGAAGACGGUUUUCGGAUUGUAAACUUCUGUUCUUAGUGAAGAAUAAUGACGGUAGCUAAGGAGCAAGCCACGGCUAACUACGUGCCAGCAGCCGCGGUAAUACGUAGGUGGCAAGCGUUGUCCGGAAUUACUGGGUGUAAAGGGCGUGCAGCCGGGAGUACAAGUCAGAUGUGAAAUCCCGCGGCUCAACCGCGGAACUGCAUUUGAAACUGUAUUUCUUGAGUACUGGAGAGGCAGACGGAAUUCCUAGUGUAGCGGUGAAAUGCGUAGAUAUUAGGAGGAACACCAGUGGCGAAGGCGGUCUGCUGGACAGCAACUGACGGUGAGGCGCGAAAGCGUGGGGAGCACACAGGAUUAGAUACCCUUGUAA
rnacentral:rRNA from 1 species